rnacentral:rRNA from 1 species
GACGAACGCUGGCGGCGUGCUUAACACAUGCAAGUCGAACGGAAAGGCCCUGCUUUUGUGGGGUGCUCGAGUGGCGAACGGGUGAGUAACACGUGAGUAUCCUGCCCUUGUCUUUGGGAUAACUUCUGGAAACUGGGGCUAAUACCGGAUAGGAGCUCCUGCUGCAUGGUGGGGGUUGGAAAGUUUCGGCGGUUGGGGAUGGACUCGCGGCUUAUCAGCUUGUUGGUGGGGUAGUGGCUUACCAAGGCUUUGACGGGUAGCCGGCCUGAGAGGGUGAACGGCCUCAUUGGGACUGAGGUACGGAGCAGACUCCUACGGGAGGCAGCAGUGGGGAAUAUUGCAGAGUGGGCGGGAGCCUGAUGCAGCAACGCCGCGUGCGGGAUGACGGCCUUCGGGUGGUAAACCGAUUUCGCCUGUGACGAAGCGUGAGUGACGGUAAUGGGUAAAGAAGCACCGGCUAACUACGUG